UAUCGAAUUAAAAAUAAAUUGGAGUCUUUCCAACAAUCAUGGACAAAAAAAUUUGUUGUUCAUCAUCUUCCUAGUGAGAUUUGUAACAAAUUGGAGAAUAUUUCUUCACAUUUUGGCUGGAAACUUUCUCUAUGUGAAUUCUUCCAAGGAUUGGUAGAAUCCUUGUUAGUUCCUGCCUGCAGGGACUAUAGCUGAGGCCUCAGGCUUCGCACAGUUCUCAACAGGAGAGAACGCACGACUCCAGAAGUAGGUGCAGGGCCGCCAAAAUGGAACUUUGACAGAGCGCAUAGAAAAACAUGGAUGACAAAAAGUGAUUGCGGAGUGAAAGUAACAGUUGGCAAAAUUACAAGACAAAUUGCAGAGUAUGGAUUCGAAUCACCUAGCUGUCGAUAAGGGUUUUCAUUCGGAAAUGACGUGUUAGCUCACAGGCCUGGAAACACAACUAUAUUGCUGUACGCAUAAGGUUCCUGUAUGUGGAGAUUGCAUCUGCUUUCCUGAACACAGUGCUUGUGAGGUGACGACAUAUGCAGAGUGGAUGGUUGAUUCCAGUUGCAGUUUCCUACCAAAAUGUAGCUUUUGCUUGCAGAUACUGACUCAUUCAAGUCGCUCUGUCACUCAGCUCGGCUGCUUACGUAUGUUUUUCCUUGAACUUCACUAAGGUUGAUUUUACACGAAUGAGAUUAUUUAUUAGCAUAGGACAAGGCUAAUCCUGGAAGGAUUGUGCUCAGAUGUUUUGCAUAAUUCGUGCUUGCUUCUACUUUUGAAAGGAUCUUCAUCUCCAACUGGUUACACAUGUCCUUCAUGCAAAUCACAAAUAUGGUUCUUCCCUUGCCUAUCAAUUGGAGGAAUUAUUUGCGAAGAGCCAUAUUUUUAUGUUGGACAAGAAUUCUCUAUUGCCAUUAGCUUCUGAACUAUUAUCAAAUUUCUCUGAGCAAGGAUUCUCACAGCCACGUUCUGAGAUUCAAUCAACAGUUUUUAGUUUGUCAUCACCUCUUGCUGAAAUGUACACAGAUCCGAAGAGUCAAAAGGCACAGCAGAGCUAUAUUCCUAAAGAUCAAAAUGUAUUAGAGAGUGGGGAAACAUUUAAAUCACCAAGAAAGACGAUAAAUAUUGAAACUCCAAAGUCUUGUUCACCUGAGAUUGAUAAGCUUUUUGUACAUUCCCAUGUCAUGGACGUAGAAUAACUGAUUUCUAUUUUAACUAAUCUUCAUAUUGUUAAUUUUGCAAGGUCCUGAAUGCAAAAGCUGAGAACAGCCAGCAAAUCCGGGAAAGGAUCAAUAGCAAGCAAGGCCACUGACACAAAAAUGAAAUCACACAAUUUAUUACCAUUGUACUAGUUUUGCAGUUUUGCACAACAUCGUUAAUAGGCAGCCGACAUUUGGCAAACAUAUGUAAAUAUAUAUCUCUUUCUUUCA